rnacentral:rRNA from 1 species
AGGGUGUAAACGCUGCAGACUUGGUGUUGGAGGCCCUUUGGGGGCAUUCAGUGCCGGAGAGAAGUUGUUAAGUCUGCUACUUGAGGAGUACGUCCGCAAGGAUGAAACUUAAAGGAAUUGGCGGGGGAGCACCGCAACGGGAGGAGCGUGCGGUUUAAUUGGAUUCAACACCGUAAAACUCACCAGGGAAGACUGUUACAUGAAGGCCGAGAUGAAGACUCUGCUAGAUUUUCAGAGAGGAGGUGCAUGGCGUCAGUGACU